GAUGAACGCUAGCGGGAGGCCUAACACAUGCAAGCCGAGCGGUAUGGAUAGCUUGCUAUCCAGAGAGCGGCGUACGGGUGCGUAACACGUGUGCAACCUACCUUUAUCUGGGGGAUAGCCUUUCGAAAGGAAGAUUAAUACCCCAUAAUAUAAUGAUUGGCAUCAAUUAUUAUUGAAAACUCCGGUGGAUAGAGAUGGGCACGCGCAAGAUUAGAUAGUUGGUGAGGUAACGGCUCACCAAGUCAAUGAUCUUUAGGGGUCCUGAGAGGGAGAUCCCCCACACUGGUACUGAGACACGGACCAGACUCCUACGGGAGGCAGCAGUGAGGAAUAUUGGACAAUGGGUGAGAGCCUGAUCCAGCCAUCCCGCGUGAAGGAGGACGGUCCUAUGGAUUGUAAACUUCUUUUGUACAGGGAUAAGCCUACCCUCGUGAGGGUAGCUGAAGGUACUGUACGAAUAAGCACCGGCUAACUCCGUG
rnacentral:rRNA from 1 species